rnacentral:tRNA from 1 species
GGGGCUGUAGCUCAGUUGGUAGAGCGGUUGCAUGGCAUGCAACAGGUCGUCGGUUCGAGACCGAUCAGCUCCACCA